AUAAUCCAAAUGUAUCAUAUGAAAUUCUCAAAAUGCUGAUGAAAUUAUUACAUUAAAAAAACGAAUGACCAAUCUCAUGCAGUUCUUUUGAAAGCUUUUACUCAGGAAGGUGGAACUCGGUCCUUGGUAUUGCUUUGUCGCUGUAUUAGUAACAUGGUACACAACCAUCUGGGAACUCCAGGCCAAGGACUCAUCAGAUAGUUCAGGAGGAUCUGAGUAAACAGUGCACAUCUUCCACUGCAGAGAGUGAGUCCUCCUGACAGAUGAUUGUUCACUAGGGGUUUAUAGAAGGUGCUAAAUACUACAUGCUUGUUGAAGUAAAUGGGACUUACGCUGAGAGCAAUCAAUCAUCUAAGAGAUGUGAGGAACACUACAAGAGGCAUGAAAAUGCUUUCUUUAUGAUGUAGGUGUGGUCCAAACCACAUUUAUUUCCAACAAAUAGAAGCAGAAAGGAUAACACUCUAUUUCUCUUUAAUUUACAUGGAUUUAAAACUGGAGGUAUAAUUAAAGAAACGGGAGAGAGAAAAAUAAGCAGAUAUGUCUUUCUAAUAAAAAUAAACUUGAUUCCACAUUCACAGCAAAGUCACAGAAGAUAAUUUGAA